rnacentral:misc_RNA from 1 species
CAACCCUCGAGUCCCUUUGGACUCGGCGUUGGGGAUCGGCCGUCCUUCGCGGCGGCCGGCCCCGAAAUAUAGUGGCGGUCUCGCUGUAGCCUUCUCUGCGUAGUAGUAAAACCCUCGCAGGCGAAGAGCGGCUUGACCACGCCGUAAAACCCCCAACUUUACCAA